rnacentral:rRNA from 1 species
UACAGAGGCCUCGAGCGUUAGGCGGAAUCACUGGGCUUAAAGCGUGUGUAGGUGGAUGCCUAAGUACCUUGUGAAAUCCCAUGGCUUAACCAUGGAAUUGCUUGGUAUACUGGGUGUCUUGAGCCACUCAGGGGCUACUGGAACAAACGGUGGAGCGGUGAAAUGCGUAGAUAUCGUUUGGAACGCCAAUGGUGAAAACAGGUAGCUGGGGGUGUGCUGACACUGAGACACGAAAGCCAGGGGAGCAAACGGG